CAAUGGGAAAAAUCAAUCCACAUUAAUGUAUAAAAUCAAUCCAAAACAUAUCAAGUUGAACAUUAAUCUAAAAUAAAUGUGUCCAACACAAAUUAAUUGGCUACACUUUCAUCCAUACGCUAAAUAUCGGAGUAAUCUACAUCCUCUCCUCAGAAGCCACUAUAAUUAACUUCAGCUAAUAAAGGUUUUUGGUUAAUUUCUCAACUUCCUUAAGCAAACCACCAUCAUGAAGCUUGCCAGUAAAGUUUGAAUAUCCUUAGCCAAAGCUUUCAUGUGAGACAUCACUGCAUCAAGACAAAAUUUUUGCUUGAGAAUAUAUUAUACGCUAUAGCAAAAGUAAACACUAAAAAAAGUAAACUACGCAUGGUUUUUCCUAUUUACUGCACUUUAUUUUGCAACAAGUCUAAGCAGAAAAAACAGGAUGCUCACUACCAAACCAAAAAGAAAGCAAUUAGAAUAUAAAGUGGUGUAAUACUGGUAAACAAAACUGGGCAGAAAGCAUCACAAUGGUUGCAGAUUGCAAUAUGAUAUUACUCUUAAGUCUCAAAUUACCCUCUUUUGUAUUUUUCCAAAGAUCUAUAUAGACAUGUUGUGCAGCAAACCCACCUACAAAUCGAACCAAUCAAUUAAUUAGUGAAGGAUUUGAAAAAGAAAAAUGGAAGAAAACCAAUAACCAAAAAUUAUAAAAUUGAAGAACAAUUU
rnacentral:lncRNA from 1 species